rnacentral:rRNA from 1 species
UACGGAGGGUGCAAACGUUGCUCGGAAUCAUUGGGCGUAAAGCGCACGUAGGCGGCCUGAUAAGUCGGGUGUGAAAGCCCUGGGCUCAACCCAGGAAGUGCACUCGAAACUGUCAGGCUUGAAUAUAGAAGAGGGUCGCGGAAUUCCCGGUGUAGAGGUGAAAUUCGUAGAUAUCGGGAGGAACACCAGUGGCGAAGGCGGCGACCUGGGCCAAUAUUGACGCUGAGGUGCGAAAGCGUGGGGAGCAAACAGG